AACGAACGCUGGCGGCAGGCCUAACACAUGCAAGUCGAACGCCCGUAGCAAUACGGGAGUGGCAGACGGGUGAGUAACGCGUGGGAACGUGCCCUUCGGUUCGGAAUAACUCAGGGAAACUUGAGCUAAUACCGGAUACGUCCGUAAGGAGAAAGAUUUAUCGCCGAAGGAUCGGCCCGCGUCGGAUUAGCUAGUUGGUGAGGUAACGGCCCACCAAGGCGACGAUCCGUAGCUGGUCUGAGAGGAUGAUCAGCCACACUGGGACUGAGACACGGCCCAGACUCCUACGGGAGGCAGCAGUGGGGAAUAUUGGACAAUGGGCGAAAGCCUGAUCCAGCCAUGCCGCGUGAGUGAAGAAGGCCUUAGGGUUGUAAAGCUCUUUCAGCGGGGAAGAUAAUGACGGUACCCGCAGAAGAAGUCCCGGCUAACUUCGUGCCAGCCGCCGCGGU
rnacentral:rRNA from 1 species